AGAGUUUGAUCCUGGCUCAGGAUGAACGCUGGCGGCGUGCCUAAUACAUGCAAGUCGAGCGAACGGACGAGAAGCUUGCUUCUCUGAUGUUAGCGGCGGACGGGUGAGUAACACGUGGAUAACCUACCUAUAAGACUGGGAUAACUUCGGGAAACCGGAGCUAAUACCGGAUAAUAUUUUGAACCGCAUGGUUCAAAAGUGAAAGACGGUCUUGCUGUCACUUAUAGAUGGAUCCGCGCUGCAUUAGCUAGUUGGUAAGGUAACGGCUUACCAAGGCAACGAUGCAUAGCCGACCUGAGAGGGUGAUCGGCCACACUGGAACUGAGACACGGUCCAGACUCCUACGGGAGGCAGCAGUAGGGAAUCUUCCGCAAUGGGCGAAAGCCUGACGGAGCAACGCCGCGUGAGUGAUGAAGGUCUUCGGAUCGUAAAACUCUGUUAUUAGGGAAGAACAUAUGUGUAAGUAACUGUGCACAUCUUGACGGUACCUAAUCAGAAAGCCACGGCUAACUACGUGCCAGCAGCCGCGGUAAUACGUAGGUGGCAAGCGUUAUCCGGAAUUAUUGGGCGUAAAGCGCGCGUAGGCGGUUUUUUAAGUCUGAUGUGAAAGCCCACGGCUCAACCGUGGAGGGUCAUUGGAAACUGGAAAACUUGAGUGCAGAAGAGGAAAGUGGAAUUCCAUGUGUAGCGGUGAAAUGCGCAGAGAUAUGGAGGAACACCAGUGGCGAAGGCGACUUUCUGGUCUGUAACUGACGCUGAUGUGCGAAAGCGUGGGGAUCAAACAGGAUUAGAUACCCUGGUAGUCCACGCCGUAAACGAUGAGUGCUAAGUGUUAGGGGGUUUCCGCCCCUUAGUGCUGCAGCUAACGCAUUAAGCACUCCGCCUGGGGAGUACGACCGCAAGGUUGAAACUCAAAGGAAUUGACGGGGACCCGCACAAGCGGUGGAGCAUGUGGUUUAAUUCGAAGCAACGCGAAGAACCUUACCAAAUCUUGACAUCCUUUGACAACUCUAGAGAUAGAGCCUUCCCCUUCGGGGGACAAAGUGACAGGUGGUGCAUGGUUGUCGUCAGCUCGUGUCGUGAGAUGUUGGGUUAAGUCCCGCAACGAGCGCAACCCUUAAGCUUAGUUGCCAUCAUUAAGUUGGGCACUCUAAGUUGACUGCCGGUGACAAACCGGAGGAAGGUGGGGAUGACGUCAAAUCAUCAUGCCCCUUAUGAUUUGGGCUACACACGUGCUACAAUGGACAAUACAAAGGGCAGCGAAACCGCGAGGUCAAGCAAAUCCCAUAAAGUUGUUCUCAGUUCGGAUUGUAGUCUGCAACUCGACUACAUGAAGCUGGAAUCGCUAGUAAUCGUAGAUCAGCAUGCUACGGUGAAUACGUUCCCGGGUCUUGUACACACCGCCCGUCACACCACGAGAGUUUGUAACACCCGAAGCCGGUGGAGUAACCUUUUAGGAGCUAGCCGUCGAAGGUGGGACAAAUGAUUGGGGUGAAGUCGUAACAAGG
rnacentral:rRNA from 1 species